AGGGCUGCGGCAACCGGCGGCUGCGGCUGCGACCCAAGGGGGGGGGGGCACGGCGACGGUUGCGGCUGGGAGGCGGGCGGCGGUGAUAGAGCGAUCGAGAAGCAGCGGCGGCGGUGGAGAAAAAGGCAGCGAGCGUCGUCGCUGGCCGGGAAGUUGCGAUGCUGGAGAUGGGAAACAGGGUGCUCUGUUUCGAUCGCACCACAGCCGGAGCCGCUGGCGAUGCUGGCAACGGCGGUGCGGCGGUGAUCGUGCGGCCGAGAAGCAGCGGCAACGGUGGAGAAGGAGGAAUCGGCGGCUGUAAAGGCGACCGACGCCUGCGGCAGCAGAGGGACCGGCGGCUGCUCUGUUUCUAUCGCACCAUAGAAACAGCGACGCUGACAGAUCGCACGGCCGAAGCUGCAACCAUGGGAAGCCAGCGAUGGCGGUGUGGCUAGG
rnacentral:lncRNA from 1 species